GGUUUCCGUAGGUGAACCUGCGGAAGGAUCAUUC
rnacentral:rRNA from 1 species